CUGCUCAGAUUGAACGCUGGCGGCAGGCCUAACACAUGCAAGUCGAGCGGUAGCACAGAGAGCUUGCUCUCGGGUGACGAGCGGCGGACGGGUGAGUAAUGUCUGGGAAACUGCCUGAUGGAGGGGGAUAACUACUGGAAACGGUAGCUAAUACCGCAUAACGUCGCAAGACCAAAGUGGGGGACCUUCGGGCCUCAUGCCAUCAGAUGUGCCCAGAUGGGAUUAGCUAGUAGGUGGGGUAACGGCUCACCUAGGCGACGAUCCCUAGCUGGUCUGAGAGGAUGACCAGCCACACUGGAACUGAGACACGGUCCAGACUCCUACGGGAGGCAGCAGUGGGGAAUAUUGCACAAUGGGCGCAAGCCUGAUGCAGCCAUGCCGCGUGUGUGAAGAAGGCCUUCGGGUUGUAAAGCACUUUCAGCGGGGAGGAAGGCGAUAAGGUUAAUAACCUCGUCGAUUGACGUUACCCGCAGAAGAAGCACCGGCUAACUCCGUGCCAGCAGCCGCGGUAAUACGGAGGGUGCAAGCGUUAAUCGGAAUUACUGGGCGUAAAGCGCACGCAGGCGGUCUGUCAAGUCGGAUGUGAAAUCCCCGGGCUCAACCUGGGAACUGCAUUCGAAACUGGCAGGCUAGAGUCUUGUAGAGGGGGGUAGAAUUCCAGGUGUAGCGGUGAAAUGCGUAGAGAUCUGGAGGAAUACCGGUGGCGAAGGCGGCCCCCUGGACAAAGACUGACGCUCAGGUGCGAAAGCGUGGGGAGCAAACAGGAUUAGAUACCCUGGUAGUCCACGCCGUAAACGAUGUCGAUUUGGAGGUUGUGCCCUUGAGGCGUGGCUUCCGGAGCUAACCGCG
rnacentral:rRNA from 1 species